rnacentral:rRNA from 1 species
AGUGAACGCUGGCGGCAGGCCUAACACAUGCAAGUCGAACGGCCGCACAGUAAGAGCUUUCUCCUACGGUUGGCGAGUGGUGGAUGGGUGAGGAAUACAUAGGAAUCUACUUUUUCGUGGGGGAUAUCGGAGGGAAACUGACGCUACUAGCGCAUACGACCUACGGCUGAAUUCAGGAGAUCUUCGGACCUUGCCUGACAGAUAUAGCUGGUGUCGGAUUAGCUAGUUGGGAGGGUAACGGACCACCAAGGCAACGAUCCGUAGCCGAUCUGAGAGGAUGAUCGGCCACACUGGAACUGAGACACGGUCCAGACUCCUACGGGAGGCAGCAGUAGGGAAUAUUGGGCAAUGGGCGAAAGCCUGAUCCAGCCAUACCGCGUGGGUGAAGAAGGCCUUCGGGUCGUAAAGCUCUUUUAUUGGGGAAGAAAAGAAGCAGAUGAAUCCCCCGCCGUCCUGACGGUACCUAAAGAAAAAGCAACGGCUAACUUCGUG